AUACAUGCAAGUCGAACGCGUCUCCGUUAAUGAUUUUAGGUGCUUGCACUUGAAAGAUUUAACAUUGAGACGAGUGGCGAACUGGUGAGUAACACGUGGGUAACCUGCCCUUGAAGUAGGGGAUAACACUUGGAAACAGGUGCUAAUACCGUAUAACAACCAAAACCACCUGGUUUUGGUUUAAAAGACGGCUUCGGCUGUCACUUUAGGAUGGACCCGCGGCGUAUUAGCUUGUUGGUAAGGUAACGGCUUACCAAGGCGAUGAUACGUAGCCGACCUGAGAGGGUAAUCGGCCACAUUGGGACUGAGACACGGCCCAAACUCCUACGGGAGGCAGCAGUAGGGAAUCUUCCACAAUGGACGAAAGUCUGAUGGAGCAACGCCGCGUGAGUGAUGAAGGGUUUCGGCUCGUAAAACUCUGUUGUUGGAGAAGAACAGGUGUCAGAGUAACUGUUGACAUCUUGACGGUAUCCAACCAGAAAGCCACGGCUAACUACGUGCCAGCAGCCGCGGUAAUACGUAGGUGGCAAGCGUUGUCCGGAUUUAUUGGGCGUAAAGCGAGCGCAGGCGGUUUUUUAGGUCUGAUGUGAAAGCCUUCGGCUUAACCGGAGAAGUGCAUCGGAAACCGGGAGACUUGAGUGCAGAAGAGGACAGUGGAACUCCAUGUGUAGCGGUGAAAUGCGUAGAUAUAUGGAAGAACA
rnacentral:rRNA from 1 species